UGGUACACACAUAUAACCACCAAAUAUCUGGCACAGAUCCUUCUACUUUAGCUCAGAGAUUUCCUAAAGAGGACAGUAAACAAGACCCUCUCUGUUUCACUGAUGCUAGUAAAGGGAUUAAAAUAGUCCAGAUAUAAAAAGGCAGUAAGUUCCGUAAAGAAAUUCUGUCCCCAUUUGAAAUCUCUAUUGCUUAGUGCUUUUAAUGCAAUUGGGGAACUGACUGGGAGCAGAAAACUAUCCCAAUGACAGACAUAUGAGGACUCUGCUAUUUUCUAAAAGUCAAUCAGCACCAUUUGUGCCCGCAGAAAAACCAAUCGCUCCCUAAUGCAGAGGGCUGAGAGUACAUGGGGAAUAUACAAUGAAACUAUUACAAGUUUAAAAG
rnacentral:lncRNA from 1 species